UACGUAGGCAGCAAGCGUUGUUCGGAAUUACUGGGCGUAAAGAGUGUGUAGGCGGUGUUCUAAGUUUGUCGUGAAAUCUCCCGGCUCAACUGGGAGGGUGCGCCGAAUACUGGAAUGACUUCGAGUGCGGGAGAGGAGAGUGGAAUUCCUGGUGUAGCGGUGAAAUGCGUAGAUAUCAGGAGGAACACCGGUGGUGUAGACGGCUCUCUGGACCGUAACUGACGCUGAGACACGAAAGCGUGGGUAGCAAACAGG
rnacentral:rRNA from 1 species